rnacentral:rRNA from 1 species
UGUAGUCUCAACGAUGAUGCAUACAUGUCAACUAUGGGUGUUGGCUCCAACAAUUCGCAUUGGUCUCAAACCAAUGGCAUGCACUUUGAUGACCAUGAGUUCGAGGUGGACGAGGAUGGUGAGGGCAUUGUCGACGCACCGAAAGGAAGAGCGGGCAAUUACACCAAUGCCGAAGACAUCUUACUAUGCAAUACUUGGUUGCAAGUAUCGAGGGAUCCAUCCAUUGGAGGUGUCAAAGUAGACAUGCUUAUUGGAACCGGAUGA